rnacentral:rRNA from 1 species
GACGUAGGAGGCGAGCGUUGUCCGGAUUCAUUGGGCGUAAAGAGCGCGCAGGCGGUUCGGUAAGUCUGUCGUGAAAUCCUGAGGCUCAACCUCGGGCGUGCGAUGGAUACUGCCGGGCUAGAGGAUGGUAGAGGCGAGUGGAAUUCCCGAUGUAGCGGUGAAAUGCGCAGAUAUCAGGAGGAAUACCGGUGGCGAAGGCGGCAUCCUGGACCGGCAUUGACGCUGAGGAGCGAAAGCCAGGGGAGCAAACGGG